GAUGAAGAACGUAGCGAAAUGCGAUAAGUAAUGUGAAUUGCAGAAUUCAGUGAAUCAUCGAAUCUUUGAACGCACAUUGCGCCCGCUAGUAUUCUGGCGGGCAUGCCUGUCCGAGCGUCAUUUCAACCCUCAAGCCCCCGGGCUUGGUGUUGGGGAUCGGCGAGCCUCCGCGCCCGCCGUCCCCUAAAUCUAGUGGCGGUCUCGCUGUAGCUCCCUCUGCGUAGUAGCACACCUCGCACUGGGAAACAGCGCGGCCACGCCGUUAAACCCCCAACUUCUGAACGUUUGACCUCGGAUCAGGUAGGAAUACCCGCUGAACUUAAGCAUAUCAAUAAGCGGAGGA
rnacentral:misc_RNA from 1 species